GAUGAACGCUGGCGGCGUGCCUAACACAUGCAAGUCGAACGGGAUGCGUAUUGGAAAGCUUCGGCCGGAAGAUACGUUAUCUAGUGGCGGACGGGUGAGUAACACGUGGGUAACCUGCCUUAUGGAGGGGGAUAACAGAGAGAAAUCACUGCUAAUACCGCAUAAGCACACAGUACCGCAUGGUACAGGGUGAAAAGAUUUAUCGCCAUAAGAUGGACCCGCGUCUGAUUAGCCAGUUGGCAGGGUAAAAGCCUACCAAAGCAACGAUCAGUAGCCGAUCUGAGAGGAUGACCGGCCACAUUGGGACUGAGACACGGCCCAAACUCCUACGGGAGGCAGCAGUGGGGAAUAUUGCACAAUGGGGGAAACCCUGAUGCAGCGACGCCGCGUGAGUGAAGAAGUAUUUCGGUAUGUAAAGCUCUAUCAGCAGGGAAGAUAAUGACAGUACCUGACUAAGAAGCCCCGGCUAACUACGUGCCAGCAGCCGCGGUAAUACGUAGGGGGCAAGCGUUAUCCGGAUUUACUGGGUGUAAAGGGAGCGUAGACGGAGUGGCAAGUCUGAAGUGAAAACCCUGGGCUUAACCUGGGGACUGCUUUGGAAACUGUUAAUCUAGAGUGUUGGAGAGGUAAGUGGAAUUCCUGGUGUAGCGGUGAAAUGCGUAGAUAUCAGGAAGAACACCGGAGGCGAAGGCGGCUUACUGGACAAUAACUGACGUUGAGGCUCGAAAGCGUGGGGAUCAAACAGG
rnacentral:rRNA from 1 species